rnacentral:rRNA from 1 species
CCUACGGGAGGCAGCAGUGGGGAAUAUUGCACAAUGGGGGAAACCCUGAUGUAGCGACGCAGCGUGAGUGAAGAAGUAUCUCGGUACGGAAAGCUCUAUCAGCAGGGAAGAAAAUGACGGUACCUGACUAAGAAGCCCCGGCUAACUACGUGCCAGCAGCCGCGGUAAUACGUAGGGGGCAAGCGUUAUCCGGAUUUACUGGGGGUAAAGGGGGCGUAGACGGCAGGACAAGUCUGGAGUGAAAUCCCGGGGCUUAACCCCGGAACUGCUUUGGAAACUGGGCGGCUGGAGUGCAGGAGGGGUAAGCGGAAUUCCUAGUGUAGUGGUGAAAUGCGUAGAUAUUAGGAGGAACACCGGUGGCGAAGGCAGCUUACUGGACUGUAACUGACGUUGAGGCUCGAAAGCGUGGGGAGCAAACAGGAUUAGAUACCCCGGUAGUC